rnacentral:rRNA from 1 species
GUGGGGAAUAUUGCACAAUGGGCGCAAGCCUGAUGCAGCCAUGCCGCGUGUAUGAAGAAGGCCUUCGGGUUGUAAAGUACUUUCAGCGGGGAGGAAGGUGCUGAGGUUAAUAACCUCAGCAAUUGACGUUACCCGCAGAAGAAGCACCGGCUAACUCCGUGCCAGCAGCCGCGGUAAUACGGAGGGUGCAAGCGUUAAUCGGAAUUACUGGGCGUAAAGCGCACGCAGGCGGUCUGUCAAGUCGGAUGUGAAAUCCCCGGGCUCAACCUGGGAACUGCAUUCGAAACUGGCAGGCUAGAGUCUUGUAGAGGGGGGUAGAAUUCCAGGUGUAGCGGUGAAAUGCGUAGAGAUCUGGAGGAAUACCGGUGGCGAAGGCGGCCCCCUGGACAAAGACUGACGCUCAGGUGCGAAAGCGUGGGGAGCAA